UAGAGUUUGAUCCUGGCUCAGAUUGAACGCUGGCGGCAUGCCUUACACAUGCAAGUCGAACGGCAGCACGGGAGCAAUCCUGGUGGCGAGUGGCGAACGGGUGAGUAAUACAUCGGAACGUGCCCUGUAGUGGGGGAUAACUAGUCGAAAGACUAGCUAAUACCGCAUACGACCUGAGGGUGAAAGUGGGGGACCGCAAGGCCUCAUGCUAUAGGAGCGGCCGAUGUCUGAUUAGCUAGUUGGUGGGGUAAAGGCCUACCAAGGCGACGAUCAGUAGCUGGUCUGAGAGGACGAUCAGCCACACUGGGACUGAGACACGGCCCAGACUCCUACGGGAGGCAGCAGUGGGGAAUUUUGGACAAUGGGGGCAACCCUGAUCCAGCAAUGUCGCGUGUGUGAAGAAGGCCUUCGGGUUGUAUAGCACUUUUGUCCGGGAAGAAAUCGCACCUGAUAAUACCGGGUGUGGAUGACGGUACCGGAAGAAUAAGGACCGGCUAACUACGUGCCAGCAGCCGCGGUAAUACGUAGGGUCCAAGCGUUAAUCGGAAUUACUGGGCGUAAAGCGUGCGCAGGCGGUUGUGCAAGACCGAUGUGAAAUCCCCGGGCUUAACCUGGGAAUUGCAUUGGUGACUGCACGGCUAGAGUGUGUCAGAGGGGGGUAGAAUUCCACGUGUAGCAGUGAAAUGCGUAGAGAUGUGGAGGAAUACCGAUGGCGAAGGCAGCCCCCUGGGAUAACACUGACGCUCAUGCACGAAAGCGUGGGGAGCAAACAGGAUUAGAUACCCUGGUAGUCCACGCCCUAAACGAUGUCAACUAGUUGUUGGGGAUUCAUUUCCUUAGUAACGUAGCUAACGCGUGAAGUUGACCGCCUGGGGAGUACGGUCGCAAGAUUAAAACUCAAAGGAAUU
rnacentral:rRNA from 1 species